rnacentral:rRNA from 1 species
UAGGGAAUCUUCGGCAAUGGACGAAAGUCUGACCGAGCAACGCCGCGUGAGUGAAGAAGGUUUUCGGAUCGUAAAACUCUGUUGUUAGAGAAGAACAAGGACGUUAGUAACUGAACGUCCCCUGACGGUAUCUAACCAGAAAGCCACGGCUAACUACGUGCCAGCAGCCGCGGUAAUACGUAGGUGGCAAGCGUUGUCCGGAUUUAUUGGGCGUAAAGCGAGCGCAGGCGGUUUCUUAAGUCUGAUGUGAAAGCCCCCGGCUCAACCGGGGAGGGUCAUUGGAAACGGGGAGACUUGAGUGCAGAAGAGGAGAGUGGAAUUCCAUGUGUAGCGGUGAAAUGCGUAGAUAUAGGGAGGAACACCAGUGGCGAAGGCGGCUCUCUGGUCUGUAACUGACGCUGAGGCUGGAAAGCGUGGGGAGCAAACAGG